rnacentral:ncRNA from 1 species
UGCGGUCACAAAACCUGAAGAAUUUUUGAACGUUGGCUUUACCAACGGCCGCGAAGGAGCGAAUAAAUUACUUCCAUGAUUUAUGAGUAAAAAU